rnacentral:pre_miRNA from 10 species
CUCUGCUUUCAGCUUCUUUACAGUGUUGCCUUGUGGCAUGGAGUUCAAGCAGCAUUGUACAGGGCUAUCAAAGCAUAG